ensembl:snRNA U6 U6 spliceosomal RNA
AUAAACACCGUUCAGAAGUUUUCAUUCAUCAUAAAAUUGGAUCGAUACAGAGAAGAUUAGCAUGGCCCCUGCG